UCUUGGCGCCUCCAAAGUCUACUAACUAAGCUUUGCAACUCCCUUACCCUUGCUCUUGUAAUUGGACCCUUGAACAAUGGAAGUGGCUCCUGUGGUUGUGUCUCCUCAUCAUAAGGACUUACAGUAAUUUAAAAAUUCAUAAGAAAUUAUACAAAAAAUAUUAAUUUAAAAUUUUAAAUAUUUAAAUAUAAAGAAAAUCCUUAACAAAUUCAUAAAAAGAUGAUAAAAGGUCCCACAAGCAAUUAUUGUGAAAGCUCUUCCAUUCUUAUUUAAGAAAGCUGUUGGAUGCACACCCUCUAACAAGCAAGAAUUCUAGAGAAGCAUAGAGAGAAAAUUAAUUAGGAAAGAUUGUUCUUCGAUUUGCUUAUUCCAUCCUUCUCUUCCAUCUGUUGAUUUUUUUUUUUUUUUGAAAAAGCAUUACAUGUGUUGAUUUUAAUUUGACGUUUCAAACAUUCCCCACAAGCCAAAGUCUCCCUUGAAGAUCUGUGAAAUCCGGCCAGCUGAAGCAGAGAAAAGAAUUUGUGCAGGAGAUAUGGAAUCAAUGCUUGAUUUUGUCCACCGCUCCGUCGGAUCAGAGAGGGACUUCAAAAUUGUGGAAAUCAAGCACCCUACAAUGUCAGCUCCGAUAUUGCAAAUUUCAAGACUAUAUUGUCUUGGAAGAUCCUCAGGAGAUUGAAGGUCCUGGAAUGGUAUUUUGUCACCCAAUAUAUCAGGCUUUCCUUGGCCAUUAUGACGUUGAACAUGCAAAGAUUGCCAAGGUAUCGCUCGGUGUCGGUGGUGACAAUGGGAGAUAAAGUGGAAGCUAUUGCUAUUUGCCAUAUGGACUCCUCAGGUUGGAGCUUUGAUCAUAUUGCCUGAUCAUCUUGUUUGGGUUCAGUCACAAGCUUCCAAGGCCUCUUAAUUAUUUAAACAGUUGUUUUGUUUGGCUGCUUUUGUGUUGCUGUGACUGCUUUCGUGUUAUUGAUUUGCUCUCUAUCUAUAAUCUGUCAAGUCCCAAGAGCCAGUAUGGUGAAAAUCCUUUUGUUUUUCUGUUAGCUUUUGUUUGUUGUCUGCAACUGUAACCACCAAAAUCAUUGGUGAUCCUAAUGUACAAAAAUGCGGGAUCUACACCAAUUUGGUAUAAUAAAAAUAUGCCUAAUUACUAAUAAGAUACUAGAGUCAUCUCUAAAUGGUGAAGUUUCGAGUUCGACUUUAUUAAAUUUAAA